rnacentral:rRNA from 1 species
GAUGAACGCUGGCGGCGUGCCUAAUACAUGCAAGUCGAGCGAACAGACGAGGAGCUUGCUCCUCUGACGUUAGCGGCGGACGGGUGAGUAACACGUGGAUAACCUACCUAUAAGACUGGGAUAACUUCGGGAAACCGGAGCUAAUACCGGAUAAUAUAUUGAACCGCAUGGUUCAAUAGUGAAAGACGGUUUUGCUGUCACUUAUAGAUGGAUCCGCGCCGCAUUAGCUAGUUGGUAGGGUAACGGCUUACCAAGGCUACGAUGCGUAGCCGACCUGAGAGGGUGAUCGGCCACACUGGAACUGAGACACGGACCAGACUCCUACGGGAGGCAGCAGUAGGGAAUCUUCCGCAAUGGGCGAAAGCCUGACGGAGCAACGCCGCGUGAGUGAUGAAGGUCUUCGGAUCGUAAAACUCUGUUAUUAGGGAAGAACAAAUGUGUAAGUAACUAUGCACGUCUUGACGGUACCUAAUCAGAAAGCCACGGCUAACUACGUG